CCCUAGCCCCGAUUGAAGCAAUUGUUUGAGCUCCUUUUUUUUGUUUAAAAAAAAGAGCGAGUGCGUAAAGCGGGAAAUAGC
rnacentral:sRNA from 1 species